GUUCGAGUAGCUCAGUUGGAAGAGCAUUGGGCUAGUAUUCCAAAGGUCGUAGGUUCGAAUCCCACCGUGGCCG